UACAUCGGAACGUGUCCUGUAGUGGGGGAUAGCCCGGCGAAAGCCGGAUUAAUACCGCAUACGCUCUACGGAGGAAAGGGGGGGAUCUUAGGACCUCCCGCUACAGGGGCGGCCGAUGGCAGAUUAGCUAGUUGGUGGGGUAAAGGCCUACCAAGGCGACGAUCUGUAGCUGGUCUGAGAGGACGACCAGCCACACUGGGACUGAGACACGGCCCAGACUCCUACGGGAGGCAGCAGUGGGGAAUUUUGUGCAAUGGGCGAAAGCCUGACACAGCGACACCGCGUGGAUGAAGAAGCCCUUUGGGGUGUAAAAUCCUGUCGGCUGGAACGAAACAAAUGACGGUACCAGCAGAGGAAGCAUCGGCUAACUACGUG
rnacentral:rRNA from 1 species